GAGGAGCUUCUGAGCAACAACAUUUAAGCGUCCUCAGGUGCAUGGUGUUGCGCUCUUGAAUCGGGCUCUUUCAGCGAUUUGUCACGGUUCUGUUGGGCCCUGCUGCGACGGCACGUGCCAGAUCACCGCGGCGGCUCUGCUCCCCGUGUGCCAGACGGCCUCUCGUCGUCCUGACAGCCCACCACUGCUGUCACCCGCCCUGCGCCCGGACACCGGCUCCCGGCCCUGGCAACACGAGCGUAACCACAACCCCUACCCAGAAUAGAUGCAGACACAGGGGCCAGACAGAAACCCCCAGAGGACACACACACGCUGUACCCUGCAGCUCCACAGACUGUUCAUUUGCCCGAGUCGGGAUGAGACAAGACAUGUGCAGGUUGUGCCCGUAGCGGUCUGGCCUGAUCAGCAGUCUGACAGUGACGGGAGGAGGCGGGCAGGUGGGGGAGCCAGAUUCAUUUGCAUAAUUAUGGACGUGCUUCCUGAAACACAGCCCCGCCCACCACCGACCUUUCAACAACCCGAAUACUGAAGAGCACAGAGAAACACAGCCGU
ensembl:lncRNA